rnacentral:rRNA from 1 species
AGAGAUCAUGGCUCAGAAUGAACGCUGGCGGCGUGCUUUACACAUGCAAGUCGAGCGAGGCGGCCCGCAAGGGCCAGUCGAGCGGCGAACGGGUGAGUAACGCGUGGAUUAUCUGCCCUGAGGUGGGGGAUAACCCGGGGAAACUCGGGCUAAUACCGCAUAUGACCGGAAGGUCAAAGGGGGGUCGCAAGAUCUCUCGCCUUUGGAGGAGUCCGCGUUCGAUUAGCUAGUUGGUAGGGUAAUGGCCUACCAAGGCGACGAUCGAUAGCCGGCCUGAGAGGGUGAUCGGCCACACUGGAACUGAGACACGGUCCAGACUCCUACGGGAGGCAGCAGUGGGGAAUUUUGCGCAAUGGGCUAACGCCUGACGCAGCAACGCCGCGUGGAGGAUGAAGGUCCUUGGAUUGUAAACUCCUGUCAGCAGGGAAAAAGCGACCUGACCUCAUACGUCAGGGAGUUGAUUGUACCUGCAGAGGAAGCCCCGGCUAACUCUGUGCCAGCAGCCGCGGUAAUACAGAGGGGGCAAGCGUUAUUCGGAAUUAUUGGGCGUAAAGGGCGCGUAGGCGGCUUGGCAAGUGGAUGGUGAAAUCCCUCGGCUUAACCGAGGAACUGCCAUCCAGACUGCUUCGCUUGAGACCGGGAGAGGUGAGUGGAAUUCCCAGUGUAGCGGUGAAAUGCGUAGAUAUUGGGAGGAACACCAGUGGCGAAGGCGGCUCACUGGACCGGUACUGACGCUGAGGCGCGAAAGCGUGGGAGCAAACGGGAUUAGAUACCCCGGGUAGUCCACACCGUAAACGAUGAGUGCUUGGUGUAGCGGGUAUCGACCCCUGCUGUGCCGAAGUUCAACACAUUAAGCACUCCGCCUGGGG